ensembl:lncRNA MIR7515HG MIR7515 host gene
AGCUGUGUCCACAUGAGAACAUUGGCAAGAGUGGGGACAUGGAAGCUGUGUUCAGGCCGGUCCACGCUGGGUGACCCAUGUGACCUGCUGCUUAGCAAUUCCUUGUCACCAUCUUCCCUUCUCAGCCUCUUUUUUCAUGCUAACAGGCAUAAAUGAAAUGAUAAAAGUUUGAGCUCUUCUCGUGGAAUUCUCGUGAUACAGAUAUGUGCUACAUGUUCAUCAUCUCGUUGGUCUUCACCAUGAUAACUGUGGAGUAAGAAUUAUAAGCAGGUCACAGAUUAGGGACUUGAGAUUGACAGUUUGGCUUCCCUGUUCUGGGUGGCAAAGCCUGUGGAGUACUCACCUACCUGCUGCAUGAAGGCAGCAUGGAGGGACUGUGGUGGAUUAUCUGCAAAGAUGGCCAAAAUUCUCUCAUCCCUGCAGGCACAUACAAGGUUUCCAGAAGUUCCCCAGUCAUUGAGCAUUUCUGAGGCUCUUGAUGCAUAUGCCAAGUAGUUAUGGAGAAAGACACAGCAGCUUACCUCUGCAGGCAUCAUUGUGUGAAAGGAAGACCCAGGCUCUCUCACCACCCUUGAACAGAAGCCUUUUGCUAAGGUGAUAGCUACAUGUCCAAGCCUAUUGCGUGGCAUGCAUUUUGCCUUCUGCAGCCCACUAAAGGAAAUUGAAGUAUACAGAAUGCUUAUUUGGUCUACUCAGUAUCAUCCUAAAUGUAUGUACCAAUGCUUAGGAGUUUGCAGUUCACCCGCAAACCUCAGCGAUCCAAGCUCCCCUGGAUGACCAUCACUCACCAAGAAAAGAGCAAUAACAGGACCUGUUUUGCUAAUCCAGGACUGUUCUCCAGCACUAACUCUAAAUAAUCCCUUCUGCUAGAGUCCACUUUCUGGAACCUGUUGCCUCCGUUUUCAACGUUUCCCAAACUUGGUCCGUUGUGUGAGCUGGCUGAUAAAAGUUCCAGGGAGAAGACAUCUUACUCUUAUUGGAUCAUGCACAGUGCCUGAAGCAUUCUGUUGCAUGUAGAAGUCAGUAAAUUGCAGAUGUAAGAUUCAAAACCAGACUUCACAUCUACCGACUUCAGUGACCCUGAAAUUUGUUCACAGAGAGCAUUUAACAUAACUGUCUUCAUCAUCUCCUUCUCUACAUUAAAAAUUAUGGUUCACAAAGACGUUAUUGGUGAUUCAAUCUUGAGUCAUGAAAAGUCAACCUUGAGCCACAAAAAGUCAACCUUGAGCCAAGCAGAUUGGAGAGUCAUACAUGCCAUUCCUGGGACCAUCAAAAAUGGCAGAGGUCACACAAAAAGGCAAAACUUUUAAGAGGUGUUUUAAACGUCGUAUGGGCCAAAGAGAAGCUGGAUUUCCUAUUGGAGUCACCUGUAACACACGUGUGACGAAAUUGGCCUGUGAGGACAAGGCAGUGAGCAGAGAGGACAGCAGUCCUUAUGAGAUCAAGCUCUAAGGUAUCCUAGACACAUUUGGAGAAUUCACCUGAGCUACAGGAUGUGAAAAGUUGCUAAAACUGCUGUGAGAUUCUGGCUAAGAAAGUUUCAUGAGAAGUUUUACAGAAAAAUGUGAACGGAAGACAGAACUAGAUAUAAAUUUGAAUGUUUUGAGAAGAAUGCGAAGAAGAAAGGAAGAGUGAGCCUCUCUUUCCCAUCGUUACCCUCCAUUGUCCUCUUGACACCCUGCUUUCACAGAGAAAGAGUUUGAGACCCUCUCCCAGGAGCCAAGGAGAGGGGAACAGCUGGCUUCACAUCAUCUUUCUAUUCAACAAGAUACAAAAAGCUGAAGCCAGGAUGAUAGAAAAGCAACAAAGAAGACACGGUCCUUACUCAUUUCCCUUCCCACUUCAGAGCAAAUAUGGUGCCUGGUGUUCGAAGGGAGAACUUGUGGGCAGAGCAGGAAGCGUGAGUAUGGUUGAAGGAUCAAAUAUUUGGUUCAGGCAUCAGGGAGCCAGCAAGACUAUGAUGCUGGGAAACACAAGUGAUGUACUGUUGGAUUUAAUCUACUUGGAAAAAACCUAGGAAAACCAAAAUGUCAUCAACUAACACCUGAAAUGCCUCAGCACCAUCUGUCUCCAACAUUAAACAAAACCCACGAGAUUCCAGGAGAAAGAAAAUAGGAAAUUUAAUGAUGAACUUAACCUGAGUAACUUGAUAAAUGUUACCUUUGUGGCUAGCCAUUCACCAGCAAGUCCCUAAAAUGACCUGAAACCUGAAGAGUGUUUCACCCAUGAAAGGGUUUGCUCUCUCUGGGCAUGGCUACCCAGCACAUAUGUUAGUCAACUUUCUUUCCCUUGCAGGGCCCCUUGGAAAACUAGUUUGAAUCAUUCAUUAACUCAGCUCCACUCCUUCCCUUUCCCAUGGACCAUAGUUUCUUUGAGCAAUUAAAACUUAUAAGACACCAAAA